AUCACUGUUGACUCGAUAAGUUUAAAUAGGCGGCGACACCUGCAGGUUGGGUGCUUGACAAGACCGCCGGGAUCAACUCUUACAAACUGGGACCAAACACUUUCAACGGCCUGAAUAAGACUGACAUUCAUCAGCACUUAUAGCAGAUUUACACAAGAACCACGUCUGACAAUCCUGCUUGACUGCCAAAUGUUAAAAAAAGAGGGUUAAUUUACUCCACUGCCAGAACCACGAAGGCCUAAGGAAGGCCAGUCCUCACUUAAAGGUCUAGUUCAAUAUGUUGGGAAUAAUUUCUUCUGAUUGUUUGCAGACUUAUUAGUUACCAUUCAUCCUUCUUCAAAGCUGCUUUAUCCAGCUUUUCCAGCUGCCGGGGCCCAAGGUCCCCAUGCCACUGCUAACCACUACACCAUCGUACGCUCCUCCAGCAUGAGCAUAAGGUGUUCAAAGAUGACACCUUGAACAGCCAAACACUUAUCUACAACCACUUAUUAACCUAAUAAGUCUUUUUACAGUGGGAGAAGGCUGGAGCGCCCACAGCUGCACUGAGAGAACCGAAAGACCCCGUCAGCCCACAGGUUCAAACCGCAGAUUGUCUCAUUGUGAGUAAACAGCGCUAACCGCUGCACUACCUUACACUGCCAAGUCCAAAUAGCCAAAGGAGACGUUUUCGUAUCACCGCUGCCUCGUCCGUAGAGCGUCUGCAAACAAACAGAAGAACCCAAAAUGGUGAACUCUUCCCAUCAACGUGCCGCUGUACCUUUAACUUCACGUGCCAAAAGCGGCCACUCAGGCAUCCGUUCAUGUCGCUGCUAACGACUACAUGGCAGUGAUCGAAGUCAGCGAACACAAUAUGGCGCUUUUUUCUGUCCUUUUUGCAUCUGCAACGUCAAAAGUUUAAAAAGAGUUACGCACCAGAUGAGAAUCAACAUCAACCUUAAUCUUAACCCACCUUCAAAAGCCUUAGUAGAAGUCUCUUUUAAAUUUUAUUUAUUUUUUAUUUCUUUUUUGCAAAGUGGCCCAAAAAUUGAGAGCUCAAUCUAUUUUAAAGCAAUUUGAAAGAUAAUCAUUUAGUAUGUUGCUCAGAGAUCUUCUUGCCAGUUGUUUGGUCGUCGUGAUGCACUCUCAUCCACAAGCACUUUUAUAUCAACAGAAGUGAUUUUUUAAUGUAGGGUUUCC